rnacentral:rRNA from 1 species
UUUGAAAUUUAUAUUUUAGUAAAAAAGCUAAAAUUAUUUAUAGGGACGAGAAGACCCUAUCAAGUUUUACAAUCUAAAAUUUAUUUUCAAAUUAAAUUUAAAAUUGUUUUGCUGGGGCAGCAGAUAAAAAAUUUUUAUUUUUAAAUUAUGAUAAAUAAAUCUUGAAAAAUCAAAAAUUUUUUAAUUAAAAAUAAAUUACUGUAGGGAUAACAGCAUAAUUUUUUUAGAGAGUUCUUAUCAUCAAAAAAGUUUGUGACCUCGAUGUUGGAUUAAAAUUCCUAAUUCGUGCAAUAAUGAAAUAA